rnacentral:rRNA from 1 species
UACGUAGGGUGCGAGCGUUGUCCGGAAUUAUUGGGCGUAAAGGGCUCGUAGGCGGUUUGUCGCGUCGGAUGUGAAAUCCCGGGGCUUAACUCCGGGCCUGCAUUCGAUACGGGCUGACUAGAGUUCGGCAGGGGAGACUGGAAUUCCUGGUGUAGCGGUGAAAUGCGCAGAUAUCAGGAGGAACACCGGUGGCGAAGGCGGGUCUCUGGGCCGAUACUGACGCUGAGGAGCGAAAGCGUGGGGAGCGAACAGG